CACGCGCACGGAAGCGCACACAGCCCUCCAUUCCUGGACAGAAUGAUCAAUACUGUCAGAGUCCUCCACCUUUCGCACGAGCAGAGGUGGUUUAACCAUUGCACGGAAAGUCCCCGAUUUAAAGGGACUCUGCAAAAUGAGGACGCCCUCUCAACAUGAACUCUAUGUUACUCUUAACAAAGGGACUGUAAGCUCCAUGAGAACAGGGACGGGAUCACUGGGUCCCCAGCCUCGAGCACCUGGGUCAUGGGCUCUGUUUAAUAGAUGGUGGUGGUGAACACAUGGAGACUUAGGGAGGAAAAGAGUGCUCCCCUGAGCAUGAAGGGACGUAGUGACAGGACGUGGCAUUGGGACAGGAAGAAUGUCCUGUUCACUUAAAAAGAGGCUACAUUCUGCUCCUGGUUGCGUCUCCUGUGGUGCACGUGUUUGAUGCUGGGGACCACUUUUCAGAGGGGCCCCAACAAACCGCUGUGUUUUAAGAGAGGAGAUGAGAAUGCUAAAGGUUCCUGAAAGCAUGUGGUAUAUGGUAAACUGAGUGCCAGAGAAGAGAAGACUCCUUCGGAAGCAGGAAAACUGUGUUCCAGGCACUGCAGGAUUUGGCACGGCGUUCUCGGUCACCCUCCAGGUACAGGGGUCGCAAAUACAAUGUGAUCUUCCUGCCUCCAACCUGGCCUCGGCCCCCAAAUUCCUGGUUCUCCCGGUUUGGUCGCGAGUUAUACUGCUAACGCCUGUACAUUUUUCACUUUAAAGGCUCCUCU